CAAGAAAUAUGUGGAGGCGGUGCAAGCCGUUGCGGGUUUUGUGGGUGUGGAGCAUACGACGGUGCAUUGUGGAUAGAGUACUGGGAGAUGGGGUAUGGCCUAGGGGAUUCUGUGGAGGACAGUAGCAUUGGGUAGGCUUAUCUGGAGUAUGCGGACAUUUACUAGGUCAGUAUUGAGGCUGAAAGAAUUUAGUAGGAAUGCUCACCGGAUUUUGUCGUUGGCUGGGC
rnacentral:lncRNA from 1 species